rnacentral:rRNA from 1 species
GUACACGCUGUGACUAGCAUAUCAAUAAGCGGAGGAAAAGAAACUAACAAGGAUUCCCCUAGUAACGGCGAGUGAAGCGGGAAGAGCUCAAAUUUGAAAUCUUAAAGGGUUUCCCUUUACGAAUUGUAGUUUAAAGAAGUGUUUUCUGUUGAGGUUUUGGUAAAAGUUCUUUGGAAUAGGACAUCAUAGAGGGUGAGAAUCCCGUAUUUGACCUUUACUUUCAACUUUGUGAUACACUUUCAAAGAGUCGGAUUGUUUGGGAAUGCAGUCCAAAAUGGGUGGUAAAUUUCAUCUAAAGCUAAAUAUUGGCGAGAGACCGAUAGCGAACAAGUACCGUGAGGGAAAGAUGAAAAGAACUUUGAAAAGAGAGUUAAACAGUACGUGAAAUUGUCAAAAGGGAAGCGUUUGACACCAGUGUUGUUUUUCUGAAAAUCAAUUAAAGAACUGUUUAUGCUAAGCUGUUUAGACUUUAUCAGCUAAUCUGUUUAGUUUUAGGCUUUUCUUUAAUGCACUUUUCAGUUAACAAGUCAACAUCAAUUUCAUUUUGCUGUAAAAAAGCUUGAGGAAGGUGGCUUGAGAUUCGUCUUAAGUGUUUAUAGCCUCUUGCCUAUGCAGUCGGAGAGAUUGAGGUCUGCAGCGUAGAUCCUUCGGGGCUAAAUGCAUUUGUGCUGAGUUAUAGCAUUUUAUAGACAACUUGUUGACUAUGAUUUGUCUUGUAGCUUACUCGCUUAUGUUAUUUUACCUACGCUUAGGAUGUUGAGUCGUAGAGCACGCAG